rnacentral:rRNA from 1 species
UGAGGAAUAUUGGUCAAUGGGCGCAAGCCUGAACCAGCCAUCCCGCGUGCAGGAAGACGGCGCUAUGCGUUGUAAACUGCUUUUCCAGGGGGAGAAACUUGCGCACGUGUUGCGCAAUUGACGGUACCCUGGGAAUAAGCAUCGGCUAACUCCGUGCCCGCAGCCGCGGUAAUACGGAGGAUCCGAGCUUUAUCCGGAUUCAUUGGGUUUAAAGGGUGCGUAGGCGGACUUUUAAAUCAGUGGUGAAAACCUGCAGCUUAACUGCAGAACUGCCAUUGAUUCCGAUAGGCUUGAGUUUGGGUAAGGUAAGCGGAAUGUGUAAUGUAGCCGUGAAAUGCUUAGAUAAUACACAGAAAACCAAUUGAGUAGGCAGCUUACUGAGCCGACACUGACGCUGAGGCACGAAAGCGUGGGGAUCGAACAG